rnacentral:tRNA from 1 species
GCGUCCGUAGCUCAGCUGGAUAGAGUACCUGGCUACGAACCAGGCGGUCAGAGGUUCGAAUCCUCUCGGACGUGCCA